rnacentral:rRNA from 1 species
UACGAAGGGGGCUAGCGUUGUUCGGAAUCACUGGGCGUAAAGCGCACGCAGGCGGCUUACUAAGUCAGGGGUGAAAUCCUGGAGCUCAACCCCAGAACUGCCUCUGAUACUGGUGAGCUUGAGUCCGGAAGAGGUGAGUGGAACUGCGAGUGUAGAGGUGAAAUUCGUAGAUAUUCGCAAGAACACCAGUGGCGAAGGCGGCUCACUGGUCCGGUACUGACGCUGAGGUGCGAAAGCGUGGGGAGCAAACAGG